rnacentral:rRNA from 1 species
GGUAAGGCCGCAGCUAGACUAGCUGCUCGAUAGGCCGCAGGUGUAAGGUCGGCAACGACUUCAGCUUAGCGGUACUAAUGGCCGAGGACU